rnacentral:rRNA from 1 species
UUAAGGGAGAGACGGCUAUUAGAAAUCAGUGGUGUAGGUAGGCACUGGGGGAGGUUUUUACCCCGGGUAAAUUAAGCAUAUUAGUAAGCAGAGGAACCCCAUCAAACUUGGAUUUUGUAAGUAGUUGCGAAUGAACACAAAUUUGAUCACUUUGGCAAUCUGUACACAUUGCUGUGUAACAAUUUGUAUACGUUGGCACAGUGCUAUCAAAGCUGCAUGCAAGUGUUUUUUGAAAGGAUACAACAUGGGAUGUGAUAUUCAUGUGUGUGUGCCUGCUUUGUCCACAGCCUGUGCUGUAUGAAUCACAUUUCUUGCAACUGAAAUGCUAAUGGCAUGGUAAAGUUCAUGUGACAUGACACAAGCUUGAGAUUCAUGAUGUGCAAGUACCAUGAGGGAAAUGUGAAAAGGACUUUGGAAAGAGAAUUAAAUAAAGCCUGCAUUUGCUGACAAUGAAAGCAAGUGUGGAUGUUCAUGUAAUUGUUACUGCAUCAAUCAAUGUUCAUCUUGGUUACUGCAUGCUUUAUAUUACAGCUCAGAACAUGAAGUGUGUGUAACAGCUCUGCUUUGAUUUUUCCCACAUGGGAUCAGUUGAAACAUUGUGAGAGCACUCUUCAGUUUCCUUAUGUACCCACCAGCUUUGUCCACUCGCGUGUUGGCACACAUGUAAUGAUGAUGUGUUUAUGCAAGAUACUUCUGUGCUCAACAACAUGUUGUGUCAAUCCUCACUUGACCCGUCUUGAAAAGGAAACCAAGGGAAACCCGUCUUGAAACCGUUACCAAGGA